AUCUGACUGGCUUAAUUGGUGGAGCACGGGACUCUUGAUCUUGAGGUUGUGGGUUUGAGCCCCAUGUUUGGUA
rnacentral:tRNA from 1 species